UACGGAGGAUCCGAGCGUUAUCCGGAUUUAUUGGGUUUAAAGGGUGCGUAGGCGGCCUAUUAAGUCAGGGGUGAAAGACGGUAGCUUAACUAUCGCAGUGCCUUUGAUACUGAUGGGCUUGAAUGUACUUGAGGUAGGCGGAAUGUGACAAGUAGCGGUGAAAUGCGUAGAUAUCGGGAGGAACACCUGAGGCGAAGGCGGGCUACUGGGCCGAUACUGACGCUGAUGCGCGAAAGCCAGGGGAGCGAACGGG
rnacentral:rRNA from 1 species